AGAGUUUGAUCCUGGCUCAGAACGAACGCUGGCGGCGGGGCUUAGGCAUGCAAGUCGCGCGAGAAAGGGGCAACCCGAGUACAGCGGCGUAAGGGUGAGUAAUAGGUAGCUGACCUACCCUGGUGACGCGGAUAAUUCCUCGAAAGGGGUUGUAAUACGCGAUGAGACCACGGCUUCCACGGGAGCUGAGGUCAAAGGUCGGGGAUCCUUCGGGACCUGGCGCACUGGGAGGGGGCGACCUCUGAUUAGGUAGUUGGCGGGGUAACGGCCCACCAAGCCGAUGAUCAGUAACCGGGCUGAGAGGCUGUCCGGUCACACGGGAACUGAGACACUGUCCCGACUCCUACGGGAGGCUGCAGUCGCGAAUUUUUCACAAUGGGCGCAAGCCUGAUGAAGCCACGCCGUGUGCGGGAUGAAGGCCCUCUGGGUUGUAAACCGCCGUCAGGGAAGGGAAAACGCUGCGUGUUAACAGCGCGUAGUUUGAUUGCUUUCCAAAGGAAGCCCCGGCAAAACAUGUGCCAGCAGCCGCGGUAAUACAUGUGGGGCAAGCGUUGUUCGGAAUUACUGGGCAUAAAGGGUGCGUAGGCGGCUUGUUAAGUCAGGGGUGAAAUCCGGUGGCCCAACCAUCGAACUGCCUUUGAUACUGGCGAGCUUGAGUGCGUUAGGGGUGACUGGAACGCGUGGUGUAGCGGUGAAAUGCGUAGAUAUCACGCGGAAGGCCAAUGGCGAAGGCAGGUCACUGGGACGCAACUGACGCUGAGGCACGAAAGCGUGGGGAUCAAACAGGAUUAGAUACCCUGGUAGUCCACGCCGUAAACUAUGGGCACAAGGUUGGUGCGCUGCUUGGCGUGCUGGCCGUAGAUAAUUUGAUAAGUGCCCCGCCUGGGGAGUAUGGUCGCAAGGCUGAAACUCAAAGGAAUUGACGGGGGCUCACACAAGCGGUGGAGGAUGUGGUUUAAUUCGAAACAACGCGCAGAACCUUACCAAGUCUUGACAUGGAUGGAUUAGUCGUGCGAAAGCAUGGCGAUUACCCGCAAGGGUGUAACAUUCACAGGUGCUGCAUGGCUGUCGUCAGCUCGUGCCGUGAGGUGUUCGGUUAAGUCCUUUAACGAGCGAAACCCCUACGAUCAGUUGCCAACGGGUAAAGCCGGGAACUCUGAUCGGACUGCCGCGAAAGCUGGAGGAAGGAGGGGACGACGUCAAGUCAUCAUGGCCUUUAUGGCUUGGGCCACACACGUCCUACAAUGGGUUGUACAAAGCGCUGCAAGACCGCGAGGUCAAGCUAAUCGCCUAAAGCAACCCUCAGUUCAGAUUGUGGGCUGCAAUCCGCCCACAUGAAGCUGGAAUCGCUAGUAAUCGCGGAUCAGCCACGCCGCGGUGAAUCUGUUCCUGAGCCUUGUACACACCGCCCGUCAAGCCACCCGAAUUGGUAGUACCCGAAGUCAUAGUUCUAACCGCAAGGGAGUACGUGCCUAAGGUAAGACCGGUAAGGGGGACU
rnacentral:rRNA from 1 species